UGAAAAUUUGUUAAGAAACAAACUAAACUUAGAAAAAAAUCGAAAAAUCCCUAAAAUCAUUUCAUCAGCUCUUCUUCUUCUUCUUCACGAGAUCUUCUUCUGAGCUCAGCUACGUGCAAUUGAGAUGAUCUGAGCUUACUUGCUGCGAGCAUGGCAAGUAACCCGCCACCAUCUGGUUCACAGCCACAUUGGUCACAUCCUGCAUCUGAAUCAGUGGCUCCUCAGAAUU